GCAAUAUCUGCUGAACUUGUACUAUACUGAACUCUGGACAAUACCAUGGACUGGCAGGAACAAACAGCAAAUGGGAGUGCUAAUGUGAUUUACAGAAAAAUCUUGCCAGGCUAAUUUUAACAGAUACUUUCCAAAUUUUGGCGCAAAGUAAAACAAAGGAUAUGGAUAGGCACAGGGCCUAUGAUUUCCCUGAUCUAGCAAACUUCCAUUUGCUGAAACUACUGAAACAUGUCAGGCUCCCCUUUUUUGAUGAAGAAACUGAAGCACUGAGAUGUCAGCGACAUGCCUGCUGGGAGACAUGUAGUAAAUAGAAGAGUCAGUACUGGA